rnacentral:rRNA from 1 species
CUACGGGGGGCUGCAGCUAAGAAUCUUCCGCAAUGGGAGCAAUCCUGACGGAGCGACGCCGCGUGAACGAUGAAGGCCGAAAGGUUGUAAAGUUCUUUUAUAUGGGAAGAAUAAGGGCAGCAGGAAAUGGUUGUCCGAUGGCGGUACCAUAUGAAUAAGCCACGGCUAACUACGUGCCAGCAGCCGCGGUAAUACGUAGGUGGCAAGCGUUGUUCGGAAUUAUUGGGCGUAAAGGGCGUGCAGGCGGUUGUAUAAGUGUGGAUUGAAAGACCGGAGCUUAACUCCGAGUUUGGUCUGCAAACUGUACGACUAGAAUACUGGAAGGGUAACUGGAAUUCCACGUGUAGGGGUGAAAUCUGUAGAUAUGUGGAAGAAUACCUGUGGCGAAAGCGAGUUACUGGCCAGAUAUUGACGCUGAGGCGCGAAAGUGUGGGGAGCGAACAGGAUUAGAUACCCCGGUAGUC